rnacentral:rRNA from 1 species
GUACACAAAAAUGCACAUAUUGUGAGCUCGAUGAGUAGGGCGGGACACGUGGUAUCCUGUCUGAAUAUGGGGGGACCAUCCUCCAAGGCUAAAUACUCCUGACUGACCGAUAGUGAACCAGUACCGUGAGGGAAAGGCGAAAAGAACCCCGGCGAGGGGAGUGAAAAAGAACCUGAAACCGUGUACGUACAAGCAGUGGGAGCCUCUUUAUGGGGUGACUGCGUACCUUUUGUAUAAUGGGUCAGCGACUUAUAUUCUGUAGCAAGGUUAACCGAAUAGGGGAGCCGAAGGGAAACCGAGUCUUAACUGGGCGUUAAGUUGCAGGGUAUAGACCCGAAACCCGGUGAUCUAGCCAUGGGCAGGUUGAAGGUUGGGUAACACUAACUGGAGGACCGAACCGACUAAUGUUGAAAAAUUAGCGGAUGACUUGUGGCUGGGGGUGAAAGGCCAAUCAAACCGGGAGAUAGCUGGUUCUCCCCGAAAGCUAUUUAGGUAGCGCCUCGUGAAUUCAUCUCCGGGGGUAGAGCACUGUUUCGGCAAGGGGGUCAUCCCGACUUACCAACCCGAUGCAAACUGCGAAUACCGGAGAAUGUUAUCACGGGAGACACACGGCGGGUGCUAACGUCCGUCGUGAAGAGGGAAACAACCCAGACCGCCAGCUAAGGUCCCAAAGUCAUGGUUAAGUGGGAAACGAUGUGGGAAGGCCCAGACAGCCAGGAUGUUGGCUUAGAAGCAGCCAUCAUUUAAAGAAAGCGUAAUAGCUCACUGGUCGAGUCGGCCUGCGCGGAAGAUGUAACGGGGCUAAACCAUGCACCGAAGCUGCGGCAGCGACACUAUGUGUUGUUGGGUAGGGGAGCGUUCUGUAAGCCUGUGAAGGUGGCCUGUGAGGGUUGCUGGAGGUAUCAGAAGUGCGAAUGCUGACAUAAGUAACGAUAAAGCGGGUGAAAAGCCCGCUCGCCGGAAGACCAAGGGUUCCUGUCCAACGUUAAUCGGGGCAGGGUGAGUCGACCCCUAAGGCGAGGCCGAAAGGCGUAGUCGAUGGGAAACAGGUUAAUAUUCCUGUACUUGGUGUUACUGCGAAGGGGGGACGGAGAAGGCUAUGUUGGCCGGGCGACGGUUGUCCCGGUUUAAGCGUGUAGGCUGGUUUUCCAGGCAAAUCCGGAAAACCAAGGCUGAGGCGUGAUGACGAGGCACUACGGUGCUGAAGCGACAAAUGCCCUGCUUCCAGGAAAAGCCUCUAAGCAUCAGGUAACAUCAAAUCGUACCCCAAACCGACACAGGUGGUCAGGUAGAGAAUACCAAGGCGCUUGAGAGAACUCGGGUGAAGGAACUAGGCAAAAUGGUGCCGUAACUUCGGGAGAAGGCACGCUGAUAUGUAGGUGAAGCGACUUGCUCGUGGAGCUGAAAUCAGUCGAAGAUACCAGCUGGCUGCAACUGUUUAUUAAAAACACAGCACUGUGCAAACACGAAAGUGGACGUAUACGGUGUGACGCCUGCCCGGUGCCGGAAGGUUAAUUGAUGGGGUUAGCGGUAACGCGAAGCUCUUGAUCGAAGCCCCGGUAAACGGCGGCCGUAACUAUAACGGUCCUAAGGUAGCGAAAUUCCUUGUCGGGUAAGUUCCGACCUGCACGAAUGGCGUAAUGAUGGCCAGGCUGUCUCCACCCGAGACUCAGUGAAAUUGAACUCGCUGUGAAGAUGCAGUGUACCCGCGGCAAGACGGAAAGACCCCGUGAACCUUUACUAUAGCUUGACACUGAACAUUGAGCCUUGAUGUGUAGGAUAGGUGGGAGGCUUUGAAGUGUGGACGCCAGUCUGCAUGGAGCCGACCUUGAAAUACCACCCUUUAAUGUUUGAUGUUCUAACGUUGGCCCGUAAUCCGGGUUGCGGACAGUGUCUGGUGGGUAGUUUGACUGGGGCGGUCUCCUCCUAAAGAGUAACGGAGGAGCACGAAGGUUGGCUAAUCCUGGUCGGACAUCAGGAGGUUAGUGCAAUGGCAUAAGCCAGCUUGACUGCGAGCGUGACGGCGCGAGCAGGUGCGAAAGCAGGUCAUAGUGAUCCGGUGGUUCUGAAUGGAAGGGCCAUCGCUCAACGGAUAAAAGGUACUCCGGGGAUAACAGGCUGAUACCGCCCAAGAGUUCAUAUCGACGGCGGUGUUUGGCACCUCGAUGUCGGCUCAUCACAUCCUGGGGCUGAAGUAGGUCCCAAGGGUAUGGCUGUUCGCCAUUUAAAGUGGUACGCGAGCUGGGUUUAGAACGUCGUGAGACAGUUCGGUCCCUAUCUGCCGUGGGCGCUGGAGAACUGAGGGGGGCUGCUCCUAGUACGAGAGGACCGGAGUGGACGCAUCACUGGUGUUCGGGUUGUCAUGCCAAUGGCACUGCCCGGUAGCUAAAUGCGGAAGAGAUAAGUGCUGAAAGCAUCUAAGCACGAAACUUGCCCCGAGAUGAGUUCUCCCUGACUCCUUGAGAGUCCUGAAGGAACGUUGAAGACGA